UAUGAGGCUGAGAGGAGAGGCUGCUCAGACACAGAGAGCCCAGUUGAAAUCUACCCACACUUGCUAUUAAAUCACAAGGCGUCCACACAAAGAACAAAAUCCAACCAAGAGCUACGGGGGCUGUGCUGAUGCCGACACAUCAAGUCUAUGAUUUGGAGGAGAAAGGAGCUCUGCCCAAAUUUCAGCUGUCACAGAAUGAGUGAUCCUCAUAGUAUAAUGGAAAUGCAUCAUCUCAGUUUCCCCAUGGCCUGAAUGUCCAUACAAAAUGAGAGCCAGUAGAGAAAAACAGAGGACGUGAGGAGUUUUUAAAAAUUGAGUAAAAGUGGAAGGAAAAGUAAGGAUGAAGGUGAAGAUGAAGGAAUAUGUCAGAGAUGCUAGCACUGGCAUCCCCCACCACACAGUACCAUGUCCUGCAAAAGAACUCUAUAGAACAUACAGGGUGUAGACGGCAGUCUUCUUGGGGAAUCCAUCUGAGAAAAAGAGGCUUCAGGAUUGCAAGAUUUCAGCUACUGUCUCUCCUCGGAGCAGGAUUCCAUCUUUUCCAUGGCUGGGGCCCUUGACACAUGUCACUGUGCACUGCUCUUCUUGCUGGG